GCCCUGUUUGAAGUGGAUUAAUCAGGGCAUUUAGCGAUUGACGAGCAAAGGCGACUGGCGGCGCCCCUUGUCUCGAUUCGGCCGGUGUCACGUAUCAGUUGGAAAACAUUUUCCGCGCGGCAUGCUCUCAGCUCGAACAAACGAAUGCAAAUAGUCGCCACAAAGUUGCAAUGACAAUCGCUAAAUAAAUUAAAUAAAAUUCCCGAUAUUUUAAAAGUCUUCUCGAAGCUUCUGACAAAUUGAAUGACGGUUAAGUUAAAAAAAAAAAGUAGCAGUGAUGGAUAGGCUUAAAAAUAAGUAUCUAUAUAAAUUUCAUCUCAAUUCCAAAUUCAAGCACAACAAAUCGAAAUAAUUGCACAAAAAAAGAACCUUACCCCUUGGCGUCUUAUGGUAUUGCGAUUUUAAUAACAUUUUCAAAAAUAUAUUGCCCCCAACUGUCUGGUGGUGAGUUGAGGAAAAAGAUACCCCAAAACUCUGUUUAUCCAGAAACAACAUCAUCAAACACAACCUAAAUCGGUGGACUUAUCAACGCUCCACAGAGCAGCCGCAAAAACAAUAAACCAUUUGGCAAUUGUCUUUCUAACAUCCUGAAAACCAUCUCAGGACCUCAUUCGCAUCCUGUUUCUGUUUGUGUUCCUGGUCGAACUCACGUCGUUUGAUGGGCAUAAAGUGAAAUAAUAAAACAUUUUAACUCGACAUUUGAUGGCUGCUUUUAUUUUUAUUUGUGCGGCAUAGCGACCGGCAAAUAAAAACAGAACCCAAAAACUGAAACCGAAACCGAACUCCGGAUUCACCUUGGAGCGAUUUAAUUUUUAUGAUCCUGCCACAAAGGAGACAGAAAUCGUAAACGGGAAGAUGGAUGCCACCGGGAUGAAGACAAACUCCUUGUAACGAGGCGAAAUUUAUGCAAUUAGAAAUUAAUAUUAUACAAUUUGAUCCAUGGCCUUAUGGCCGGGACACGCGCAUCGAGUGUCAUAAAUGUUAGUAACUGCAUGUUUAUGCCACAUUUUGAAUGGGGGCGUGACAUGACAGCCUUCCAAGGAAUUCUCUCCGCCAUCCUGCAACACAAUUUUAAUGCGCAGUACAGCCAGAAAUUAAUAUUGUCACCGUGAAUGGGAUUGGAUCUGCAUUGUUUGGCAACAAAUUCGCUUUGCAUCCUCUUCCCAUUGGCGAUAACUUUUAUUAAUCAUUUAAUUCGGCUGUAAAAAGUUGUGGGUGUAUGGGUACAGUUCUGCCGGAUGCCGAUAAGCCUUAAACACAACGUGGGAAUCUGCCAAGUGUCCGCCAAUGUCCAGGACUAAGAAUACCCUGAGGGAUUACCGCCGCUGAAGUAUCCAAAGAUACAAAGUCAUUACGACGCAGCGCAUUCAUAAUUAAAAAUGUUUACACAAAUCAACGGCUUCAGGGUCCUGUAGAAUUUCUAUGAAACGCAAUGAGCGUAAUGGAGUUUGAUCCUAAUUAGUCAGCAGAAGGAUAGGACUCCAGAAAGCCCUGCAAUUCAUCCUGUACUUUCUAUUGUAAAAUGAGUAUAUCUUCAGUUAAAAGAUUUUAAAAGACUGUUCUUUUUCUUAACUCCAUUACGCACAAAACUCUUCCACUAAUCAACAGCUGAAUUAGAAAAUCAACCUCCUGAACUUUGCUCAAUUUUUUUAAGGACUCUUACUCGAGGGAACUGCUUCCCCAUUCAAAAAAUAUAACCCCGUGGCUAAUUACUAAUUCAGGCAAAAUGCUCGCUAAAAAAAUACACCAUAAUUCAAUGGAUCCGAGGGGUGGACUUUCCAGCUCAGGAAGCUAUACAGGGGAAAUCCAAUAAAUGGAACCAAAAAUCACUUGGCCACCCAGGACACGUAACGCUGGACAAGGAACAGGAAACGGAAACCAAAAAAGGACGAGGACAGCUGCCGCUACGGAAAGAAGGAGCAGAUUUUCCAGGAAAAGGAAAUCUUUAAAGUCGUGUCGCGAGUAGCGAAAAUCCAGCAUUUUUGCAGAUUAACGAUGGCCCGCUGAGGAAACCGGGAACUCCAACUAAUCGCAACCCUUUGGGCGCGGAAAAGCAAUCUCAGUUUUUAGCCAAAAGGGCGAAACUAUCAAAACUAUUCGGAGUGACGAUGGCAGCAGUGAAAGCGGCGCACCCAGGACACAAAUGGGACAUACAGGAUGCCCGGGAGACGCUCUGCCAAUUAACAGUUACAUGUGUUUGAAGGAAAUAAUUGGGUUGCGUGACAACGAGGACAACGGCGACAUGGCGAAAGGGGCGAGGUUCGGGCGGGAUAAAUAGUAAAUAAAUAGAGCUGCUCUAUUAAAAGCAAACAAACCCACACGCGGAUAAACUAUGCAAUUAUAGUGAUUGCUGAUAGUGCGUCAUCGUCAUCAUUGGGGAAAGGCACACGGUACUAUCGUCCUUGUUCUCGUUCUUCUUUCCAGUCCCAUCAUAAUUAUCGUCAUCAUCAAAGUCUGCCGCAGGACAAAGGCGUUGCUAAAGUUAUUAACGCGUCAUGCGGCGUCAAUCAACUUGGGGCUUCUCCAGGACCAAUUUGCAUGUAACUAC
rnacentral:misc_RNA from 1 species